AGUCCGCGUUACAGCGUCGUCACGAACAUAGUUUAGAGUAUUGUAAGAGCCUUCAUGAUAUCUACGUAUGCGCUAGACUGCUAAUAACAAUAUACAAUGUGAUUUGAAUUGUUUUUGUGCGUUCAAAAUUUUUCAAUGUAUUGAUUUUACUCAUUUUUACGUACAUUUCUAUUUCUACUUAUUACGUAAUAUAUAUAUAUAUAUUGUACAUGACUCCAAAUAUAUGUAUCCUUUGUUUAAAAUCUCCAAAGUCGCAUCUUAUACCAUUAUUACACAAAUUUCCGUCAGAUUCUGUAAGAUGGAAACAAUGGCUUGAUAUCUGUGGCUUUGUGGAGAAUGAAUGUAGAUCUAACUGGAAAUUAUGUUCAGAGUAUUUUAAAGAUAAAUAUUUCAUUGACGAUUUAAAAAGGGUACUAUGUCAAAAUGUUGUUUCUACGAAAAAUUUAGGAAAGGAAGUUAAAAAGAAUAAUAAAAAAAAAAAAAUUUCUUAUGUAUCUAAAGAAGAACCCGCUGGUUUAGGUCCACAAUGUUCUAGUCAACUUACAGUUAUUGUUGAGGUAUGAAGUAGCACUGUUUUUAUAAAUCAAGAUCAUACUGAAGAAAAUAUAACUGACUUGCCAAGUACUUUUAAAGAAAUGCAAAAAAGAAAACAUUCAUCUUAACCUAUUGUUAAUGAAACUCCAAAAAAGAACUAAAGGAAAUAUUAUAUUGGUGGUAUUACAUACCCAAAUGAUAAUUCUAUAAAUAAUGCUGAGAAAUAUUUUUUUUAGAACUAAAGUACAAAUUGUUGCUUGAAGAAAAAUUAGUAUUCUUCAUAAAUAUGCCAGAAGAUUACAAAAAAAACUUUCCAGCUUCCAAGCUUUGUUUAAAAAUUUGAGAGUAAAAAAUCUUAUUACUAAAGAUGUUCAUGCCAAUUUUAAUAGUAAAAUACAAUAAAUUUGAAGUAUAUUUUUAUGUGUAAAAUUAAAUUGUGUAAAUUAA